CAACCCUCAGGCUCCCGCGCCUGGCGUUGGGGAUCGGCCUUCACCGGCCGGCCCCGAAAUACAGUGGCGGCCCCGCCGUAGACCUCCUCUGCGUAGUAGCACACACCUCGCAGCCUGGGAGCGCGGCGGCGGCCACGCCGGAAAACCCCCGACUUCUGAA
rnacentral:misc_RNA from 2 species